GACGAACGCUGGCGGCGUGCUUAACACAUGCAAGUCGAACGGAAAGGCCCUGCUUUUGUGGGGUGCUCGAUUGGCGAACGCGUGAGUAACACGUGAGUAACCUGCCCUUGACUUUGUGAUAACUUCACGAAACUGGGGCUAAUACCGGAUAGGAGCUCCUGCUGCAUGGUGUGGGUUGGAAAGUUUCGGCGUUUGUGGAUGGACUCGCGGCUUAUCAGCUUGUUAGUGUGGUAGUUGCUUACCAAGCCUUUGACGGGUAGCCGGCCUGAGAGGGGUACCGGCCACAAGGGGACUGAGAGAGGGCGCAGACUCCUACGGGAGGCAGCAGUGGGGAAUAUUGCACAAUGGGCGGAAGCCUGAUGCAGAAACGCCGCGUGCGGGAUGACGGCCUUCGAGUUGUAAACCGAUUUCGAAUGUGACGAAGAGUGAGUGACGGUAAUGGGUAAAGAAGCACCGGCUAACUACGUG
rnacentral:rRNA from 1 species